rnacentral:rRNA from 1 species
UAAGGAAUAUUGGACAAUGGAAGCAACUCUGAUCCAGCCAUGCCGCGUGAAGGAAUAAGGCCCUAUGGGUUGUAAACUUCUUUUAGACGGGACAAAACCCCUUUACGUGUAAAGGGUUGAUGGUACUGUCAGAAUAAGCAUCGGCUAACUUCGUGCCAGCAGCCGCGGUAAUACGAAGGAUGCAAGCGUUAUCCGGGAUUAUUGGGUUUAAAGGGUGCGUAGGCGGACUAAUAAGUCAGUGGUGAAAGCCUGCAGCUUAACUGCAGAAUUGCCAUUGAUACUGUUAGUCUUGAGUACAGUUGAGGUAGGCGGAAUGUGUCAUGUAGCGGUGAAAUGCUUAGAUAUGACACAGAACACCGAUUGCGAAGGCAGCUUGCUAAGCUGUAACUGACGCUGAGGCACGAAAGCGUGGGGAGCAAACA